UACGGAAGGCAGCAGUGGGGAAUAUUGCACAAUGGGCGAAAGCCUGAUGCAGCGUAUGCCGCGUGUAUGAAGAAGGCCUUAGGGUUGUAAAGUACUUUCAUCGGGGAGGAAAAACAAAACUAAUAAUUUUAUUUCUUGACGUUACCCGAAAAAGAAGCACCGGCUAACUCCGUGCCAGCAGCCGCGGUAAUACGGAGGGUGCUAGCGUUAAUCAGAAUUACUGGGCGUAAAGAGCACGUAGGUGGUUUUUUUAAGUCAGAUGUGAAAUCCCUGGGCUUAACCUGGAACUGCAUUUUGAAACUGAAAUACUAGAGUAUCGUAGAGGGAGGUAGAAUUCUAGGUGUAGCGGUGAAAUGCGUAGAUAUCUGGAGGAAUACCUGUGGCGAAAGCGGCCUCCUAAACGAAUACUGACACUGAGGUGCGAAAGCGUGGGGAGCAAACAGGGAUUAGAUACC
rnacentral:rRNA from 1 species